rnacentral:rRNA from 1 species
ACGGAAAAGCUGUAGCUAAUACUUGCUUUAUUAUCCUUUGAUUUUUAUCUUUGGAUAAGUAUUUGUUAGGCCUUAUAAGAAAAAAGUUAUUAACUUAAGGAAUUAUAACAAAGAAGUAACACGUAAUAAAUUUAUUUUAUUUAGUGUGUAUCAAUCGAGUUUCUGACCUAUCAGCUUUUGAUGUUAGGGUAUUGGCCUAACAUGGCUAUGACGGGUAACGGGGAAUUAGAGUUCGAUUCCGGAGAGGGAGCCUGAGAAAUAGCUACCACAUCUAAGGAAGGCAGCAGGCGCGUAAAUUACCCAAUUCUAAAGAAGAGAGGUAGUGACAAGAAAUAACAAUGCAAGGCCAAUUUUUGGUUUUGUAAUUGGAAUGGUGGGAAUUUAAAACCUUCCCAGAGUAACAAUUGGAGGGCAAGUCUGGUGCCAGCAGCCGCGGUAAUUCCAGCUCCAAUAGCGUAUAUUAAAAUUGUUGCAGUUAAAACGCUCGUAGUUGAAUUUCAAAGAAUCGAUAUUUUAUUGUAACUAUUCUAGGGGAACUA